UUAGUACUCUCUCCGUCCCAAAAUUCUUGUCUUAGAUUUGUCUAGAUACCGAUGUAUCAAGUCACGUUCUAGUAUUAGAUACAUCCGUAUCUAGACAAAUUUAAGACAAGAAUUUUGGGACGGAGGGAGUAUGUA
rnacentral:pre_miRNA from 1 species